CGGGUGGGGGAUGGGGAACCUGUUUAGGACUGCUAGCUACAUGCUCACUCCUGCUUCCUACUUACCCAGCUACCAUUAUAACCAUUGCUGUAGUCUACACACGACAUUUUUUAUUUCCCAUUCAUGAAACGCUGCUAAACUGGGACAUUUCUAGGCACAGGUACUCCAAAACGGGAACUGUCCCCCAGAAAUCGAGGGCGUCUGGUCACCUUAAUCUUUGGGUUUGUAAUGUACGGGGUGUAGCCGGAUUGCUAAUGUGCCUAGCUUCAUUUGUUUUGUGUUUUAUAGGUAUGUGCCAUGCUUUGUGUCUCCAAGCUUCGUUUUUUUACUUGUUAUCUUGUAAGGUGUCACACCUCUUUAAGUCAGUGUUUUAUAUAUUGGGUUUGCUGUUGUGGGAAUUCCCAUUGUAUAAUGUUGACUCAAACUAAGCAAGGAUCUUGUGCUUCUAGCCAAUAUAACUGAGAACCUGUUUACGCUAGUAUUGAAGCAACCACUAUAUUCUAUGCAGCACCAAGUAGGUUUAAUUUGUUUGAAGAAGACUGAUUUAGCUGUCAGUAUUUGUUAAAACUGUUAUGACAAGCUUUUGGCAUGAGUUGGUUUUGGUUCCCGCCAAUGGACAGAGUGGUAUAUACUGUAUAUUUUGUCCUUGUACAUGAAUGUAGUCCUCUCCUGUCGUCUUUAAAGAGACUUGAAACUUGAAAUGCACUAAAAGCUCAGUCAAAAACUACAUGUUUAAAAAAUAAACACACAGUACCUGUUGCUGUCGGAUGGAUUUUUCCUGUUUUUUACAGAAAAACUUUUGGUCCUCAUAUCUGGGCCUGUAACAGAAGUAGCUAUAGUGUGUAGUUGUCUGUGUGAUUCCCAGGUUAAAAGCAGAUCAAAAACUACAGCAUGAGUUAGGCUUAUGCUACUUUUUAUUGCCCAGUGUUACAUGGUUUAGGCCUUGUGCCUGCCCCUUUGUAACUGUGGUCUGCUCUGAACUUGGCUGUCUGCUGCAAACACACACUGGUUGAUUAAAGAUGAUAGAUGCCAAGUAAAAGAUAUUCUCAUAGUUUACUCCAGGGUUUGGUACAUGGAGCUGAAAAUAAAAACAAAAUAAAUAAAUAAACAAUUGAACAAUGAUCGUAUCAAAAAUUGCCAUGGGAGGAGAAAAAGUGCAUCUAAAUGGAAGAAACUUGAUGACAUAAAGGGUAAUAAGUACAUAUAUAAGAUUGAUUAGUAAAUUAAUUGAUCAAUAAUUAAAUUCUAAAAAAGGCUGCUCAUAUCAUAAGUAACCCCAGGAUGAGAAAUGAGUGCUUGUUAAUAAAAAAAAAUAUCAAUAAAACAAAAAGGCAAUGAAUAAAUAUAAAAAUUAAUCAAUAAAUCAAUUUACACAUAAAUAAAUAACUUGGAAAGCUUUACCAUAUCAGACCAGAAGGAACAAAACCAAGACAGAAGUGCAAUCAAUAAAUUAAGCUUGUUUACAACAGUCAAACCAUUCUGGUUUGAUAUACUGGACAUACCGGGAGUACAAAAAGCUGAAACAAUAGCCUGUAUGAACAUAUGACCAAUGCACCGCCAUCUCUUUCCAUUGUAGAUAAGUGAUGCCACUGCUUUGGGCAAAUACACAUUGUGCUGGUGACAUAUUUUGACACCAAGAAAUGUGCAGAAAGGCUCUGGCUGGCUGAUGGAGCCAUGGUUUCGAUAUCGUGUGAAAAACAAACCACACAUUUCACUGACUGAUCUAACAGCAAAGACCCCUCAGGUCAGUACAAUCCACAGCAGAACAGAUGUUUGUGUUGGAUUUUGAGAAAACACUCAUGAUUCUUGAAAAGUUCAGUGACUCUUGUGUUAGUGUUUCUUGUGUUUAGAUCUUUCUGAUAAGCAACACUAUGGCCAGCCUGUAGAGGGAGCUCUUGAUAAUUUGGUUUGCACCAUAGACUGUAUAUACUAUGGACAACUUGGUUCUGCCUUCCGCCAGUACACAGAUUUGAAGCCAAAAAGCUCUCGGUAAUUCUGCGUUUUCUCUCCGUUUCCUGAAACCAACAUUGCGCAGUAACCUUGUACACACUCCACCACUUGCGAAGUAGCGUUGUGCACAUUCAGCUGGAGAGUCACCAAGAGUCACUGUGAUGAUGCUCGGCUCAAACAGCGGGUGAGCUUCACAAUCUUUGUACGCACACAGGCUGUAUCAGGUGUCAAUCAUAGAAAACUUGAACCCCCGAAAAACGGAGCUAUACUACAGCCUGUCACCAGAGGGUGCUGUUCUCAGAGUGGCUUCACCCAGCGAGAAGGCAGACGCUGUCUGUUCAAUAUACAGUCUAUGGUUUCCACUUUUGAGGAGCCAUCAUUAUCCACUUAGUUUUUUUUUUUUUUUAACAACCAUUUGCUGUAACUAUUUUUCUCUUAAUGAAGAAAGAAAAUCAGGUUUCGAGCUGCUGUUCUGUUUCUUCAGCAACAAGAGCAGCAGAGUGGGGUUUUUUUUAAUGCUGGUGUUAACUUUCAGGUACAAACUGCUCCACCGUUUCUGCAGUGAAGUCGAUCAAGCAUUUCACAUCAUCCACAAGGCCAUUACAGCUCCUUAUUUUCUUAUGUGCUUCCUCAGCUUUUUUAGUGUGUGUUGGAGUGUUUCACUGCAGCAGGGAGCAGAGGAAAGUCUUGUUGUCUAGUUCUGCCAGAUGGAGAUACAGAGAGAGAGGGAGGGACAGAGUGAGAGCGAAAGAGAGAAAAAAAGAGAGAGAGAGAGAGUCGGGGUUUCUGCACCAGUGAGUGGUUUCACCGAGCAGAGACAUGAUGUGUGUGUGACGUGUUUGUUCUGUAAAGCAGAAAUAAAUACGGAACAGCGCCUGAGUGUGUGUUAUGUGUGUGUUUAUCUCAGAGAGUGAGAGUAAAAGAGAGAAAGUCAGAGGUUGACGAAGAAAGAGAGAUUCAGCGUGAGAUCGACCUGCUGGAAAUGUAACACCAUUUCAUUUUUUGUCCUUCAGUGUCUGAACCUGUGCAGUUUUCUUCUCUUUAAGUCUUAUUACCUCCUAAAUUUCCUGUUUUUCUGUAAACUCAGCUUUAAUUUUCACCUACAGUUUCCUGUUUGAGGAGACGAGGAGUUAUCUUUCAUUGUAAAUCAGUCCUGCAAAGUCAAACAGAUCUUCACUCACUCAGUUACUUUUAUUAGUCUGUUUGAUUCCUGAUGAUUUCUCUAAUUCUACAAGUUGAAUUUGAUAACUCAAAACAAUCUAUGGGCCUUUAAUUCACAUCAGCACAUUUUCUUUAUGAUCUUCCUGUUUUGCUUUUUUUAACUUGUUGAUUAUUGUACUAUCAUUACCAUCUCAGAGACAUAACGUGCACAAACCCACUGCAUUAUGAAAAGCAUAAUGAGCUUAUUUAAGUCACCUUUGGUUGCACUUGUAAAACCUGGAUGCAUGAAAGCUUUUGUAAAAUAGCUGAAAUAUAAAUGCAGAGUGAAACUGCAGACAGAAAUGAGGGGAAAGCAGAUAAACAAGAUGGGAAAACUUCCGUUUCAUUGCCCAAAUCUGACUCACUUAGAUGUCUCAACACAUCUUCUGAAGUGCUCGGUGACGUCACUGAGUACAGUUUGUUUUGCUUUUGCAGAAGGAGGAAAAAUACGAGUGAAAAUGACAACACUUUUUUCAGGAAUUCAGCAAGUGCAGCGACCUUCUGAUUGCAUGUCAUAUUAUGUUUCUGCAAAGCUGACAGCAAAAGAUGAUUGAAGCUGCUGCCUUUUAUUUUUCAGUCUGACCUAUUUUUCCCAGAAUCCUCACUUAAAUAACUGAAUUCUAUAAUACUGAAGUGGAAGUAAGGGAUUGGUUUCUCUUUUGUGGGUCUAUAAUCCAAGAAGAAUAGUGCAUUAAUGCUUUUUUCCUUUUUUCUGAGGUUCAACUUUUAACUCACGAUUCUUGAUUUUGGGUCAGAGUUCCCAAAUGUUUUUCGUUGGUCUCCUGAGAUUUAGGUCGGAGUAGACCAUACUCCCCAGGUAGUCAUCUUUAUGUAACAUCCCUCUUGGGGUAGGAUGGCCGAAUACUGUGACCGAGCUUUGCUGCUGUGUUCCAGUCAUAUACUAUUUUAGUCAAACAUCUGACAAACUGUUGUUGUUUCACCACAACCUCAAUUGAUAAACAGUCAUAAAAAGAGCAGAUAGUGGAAAUCCCCUGAGAUAUUGAAGUGUUUGAUGUUUACCACAAAUCGCUAAAACGAGAAAAAUGCAAAGGCGAAACAUUUAGCUAUUGGACUGUUCUUACUUCGCAUCAAUUAACCAUCAAUACAACAUACAGCACAAUAAGUACAGUAUGACCAGACGUCUGUGUAAUGGUUUAACAAGUAACUUUCAGUCUGCCUUUACAACAACCACUAAAGCAUUCAACCAAGAGUCACCAGUUAACAGGGUCACUUGAUGUCCUACAAGUGAACUUAUUCUGGUUUUAGGAUGAGGAAUCUAACUCAGAGACCUGCACUUUCCUACAGAUAAAUCAACAAAUAGCAAACUUAGUUGCCACAACUGGGAAAAAAAACAUUAGAAGUGAUGGUUCAACUACAGUAAAGGGAUAUUCCAGUAUAAAAUUACUUUAGGGUCAAGCACACCGUAACACCGAGUUAGACACCCCCUUGAGAGAUGAAUGUUGCUGACGGCUUGCUUCUCCCGUUAUACCAACUUUUGUGACGACCGCACGAUAGCAAUACACAGCAGUCUGAGGAGCCACACACAAACCUCAACCAAAAAG
rnacentral:lncRNA from 1 species